CAGAUCUGCAAUCACCUACUCCUACAAGAACUCAUCACCAACACUCACUCCCAUCUGGAUCGUUGUGCCGUUUGUGGUUAAUCUGAGUCACAAGUCCAGCUAAAGUUUAAUGUUCAAUCUGCUAAUCCACAUUAUCACAUACAAAGCCCGCCCGCCAGCCAGCCAGAGCAUCAACUCCCAUCGAUUCAUGCCCUCACCCCCAGCCCUGGACCCCCCGACUAGCGACCGAUUCUCUUUCCCCUGCAGUUCCUGAAGAAAGUUCCUUAACUGCCGUCGUUCUGCUUUUGAGUUCAGCUGCAAUCAAGACAAGAUUGUCACAAUAUCCCAAUUUUCAACUCUGAUAUGAUUCUAGUAAAAAUCGUAUGAUACUGAUAUCUCUUUUGAAACCAAGGCUAUAAAACGGAAGUCCUAGACACCCAAUUUCAGACCUUGGUGAGUCUCUUCUGGAUGGUCUGUCCCUGCUUCAUCUUGGAGAAGUAGUGGUAGUACAGGGACACGUAGGUCAUGAUGGACUUCUCAUCCGGGUGAGGAACCACCAUGUCGUCCACCUCCAGCAGCUGCAUGAUGCCAAACUCUCGCUCAGCCAUGGAGAAGGCGUGCUCCAAGUUACGACGGGGGUCAUCGGCAUGGAGACGGCGGUAAUCAAACAGAUCAACAGAGCCUCCUUUGCCGAGCGAUGAGCCACACUACCUCCUCCACCAGCCUGAGGAGAGAGCGAGAGGAGAAGAGGAAAGGAAAUGAGGAGAGGAGAGGAAGGCAGGAAAGAAAGGAAGGAAGGAUGGAAGGAUGGAAGGACAGAAGAAAGGAAGGAAAAGCACAGUUAGAACGACAAAAAUAGAAUAGCCACAAGGAAUGGUGUGGGUUUAAUUCCCUACCUCGUCCAGGUUGAUGGGUCCAAUCUGGAACCUGAGGAUGAUGAUCCAAAGCAGACCGAGGAUCAGCGUGCGGUCUCCGUCCACCACAUUCUCUGGACCAAUCAGAUCCACCCGAAUCUGAAAGAAAAGAUCCAGAGGGGGUUGAGAAAGAUUUACAUUUUCUGAACUCUGAAUGACAUGGGGGAGCAGUCUUUGGACUUGGACAGGUGCGUUACCAUGGUUUUAAUGCAUCAGAGUGACUUGGAAAGACAGUGGACUCUCAGUUUGCGGCGGCUGGGUGGCGGCAGCUUCUCUCUGGAGAUGAACUCCAGCAGACGGAUCAGAACGACUCCGGUC